CCUAUUCUUAGAGUCAUUGCAGGUGUGGCUGCUGUGUCACAUGUGCAUAAGUGUGUGGCAGAGAGAAGAGAGGCUUUGUCUAUGCUCAGUGGCCUGGCCAUUGAACAUCUACAUAAUCAGUAGCCUAACAUU
ensembl:snoRNA